GUUCAAUCUUACAAUUUCUAGCAAAAACACCUUAUUUUCUCAUCAAAUCUUCUUCAAAAACCCAUCUAAAACUUCUGAAAAUUUAUGUUUAUAAACUCAAAUCUCCCAUAAAAAUAAUCUUCAUCUUAAGAGCUUUCCAUAGACACCAAACUUGAAGAAAUCCACCAAGUAUAGAGUUUAGUUGAAGAGUUGGAGUUGAGACUUGAAGGGCAAGGACCCAAAGUUAGAACCACUUCUAAGAACGCGUAGGAGCUUACGUGGGAGCUUACGGAAUAAUUAUAUAGGCUUGGAGUCGAGAGUAAACCCCUAUGGCACCUCGACGGAGAAUGGAUAUGCGAGCGGAAGAUGAACCUGAGUUGGAGUAUGACUCCCCUUUGUUUAGAUCUCGUUAUUUUAUUUGAGAGACUGUUAGUUUAGAUUUAGACUAUUUUAAG